rnacentral:rRNA from 1 species
GUCAAUGGUCAAAUCACGUUGAAACGUACAAGUUCUCGUCCGAUCACUUCAGUCAAGCAACGUUGAGCAUGGUUAGUACUUAAAUGGGUGACCGUUUGGGAACACCGUGUACUGUUGGCAUU